rnacentral:rRNA from 1 species
ACGUAGGGGGCGAGCGUUAUUCGGAAUUACUGGGUGUAAAGGGUAUGUAGGCGGCCCUUCAAGUCGCGUGUCAAAGUCCAGUGCUCAACGCUGGGUGUGCACGCGAUACUGACGGGCUUGAGGGCUGGAGAGGUGAGCGGAAUUCCCGGUGUAGUGGUGAAAUGCGUAGAUAUCAGGCAGAACACCAGCGGCGUAGGCGGCUCACUGGGCCGUCACUGACGCUAAGACACGAAAGCGUGGGGAUCAAACAG